GACGAACGCUGGCGGCGUGCUUAACACAUGCAAGUCGAACGGAAAGGCCCUGCUUUUGUGGGGCGCUCGAGUGCCGAACGGGUGAGUAACACGUGAGUAACCUGCCCUUGACUUUGGGAUAACUUCAGGAAACUGGGGCUAAUACCGGAUAGGAGCUUCUGCUGCUUGGUGUGGGUUGGAAAGUUUCGGCGGUUGGGUAAGGACUCGCGGGUUAUCAGCUUGUUGGUGGGGUAGUGGCUUACCAAGGCUUUGACGGGUAGCCGGCCUGAGAGGGUGAACGGCCACAUUGGGACUGAGAUACGGCCCAGACUCCUACGGGAGGCAGCAGUGGGGAAUAUUGCACAAUGGGCGGAAGCCUGAUGCAGCAACGCCGCGUGCGGGAUGACGGCCUUCGGGUUGUAAACCGCUUUCGCCUGUGACGAAGCGUGAGUGACGGUAAUGGGUAAAGAAGCACCGGCUAACUACGUG
rnacentral:rRNA from 1 species